CUGAGCUUUCGCUCACCAUCCACCACUGCUGUUUGCCACUGUCGCAGACCCACCGCCGACUCCCAUCCCUCUGGAUCCGGCAGGGUGUCCGCUGAGCUCCUGAUACGGCGAGACUCCCAUUGCCACUCCCGAUCAUGCUAAAGGCUUGCCAUUGUUCCUGCAACGUUAAGUGCCUGGGUUCGUCCUAAUCGAGCUGAACACUAGUCACUGGGUUCCAUGGUUCUCUUCCGUGACCCACGGCUUCUAAUAGAGCUAUAACACUCACUGCAUGGCCCAAGAUUCCAUUCCUUGGAAUCCGUGAGGCCAAGAACCCCAGGUCAGAGAAGACGAGGCUUGCCACCAUCUUGGAAGCGGCCCGCCACCAUCUUGGAAGUGGCUCGCCACCAUCUUGGGAGCUCUGUGAGCAAGGACCUCCGGUAACAUUUUGGCGACCACGAAGGGACAUCCAAAGCUUAUUGCCUAACGGUCCACAAUAAAACAUUCUCACUUUGGUAACUGUAUAAAAAUAGAAGUACAUUACAUAAAAAAGCUCACUAUCCUUGACAGAGAAGAAAGGACUUAGAACCGGAAUUCAACUUUGUGACCAUAAUCUGCCACCAGGGAAACCACAUGAGAAGAGAAGUUGUUCAAUUGUCCUGGGCAAUAGACUACUGGAGAGAUUUGAAGCUAAACUGCCUUAGUUCAAGUCUUAGUUCUGUCACACAGUAACCAGUUGAGCACAGAGUAUUCAUUAUCCUGAGGCCGAGAAUUUCUGGAUGAAUGUGGUUAAAUCACUGGAACAAUAAAGCAAGACAGUUAAGAAAAGCACCUGGCACAAACUAUUCUACUUCUACUGUUCAUCGGUUGAAAUGGUCAUCAAAAUGUAAUAAGUUGAUCGAAGACUCUCAGAUAUUACUUUAGAAUAUAUUCCUUUUAUGAAAGCUGCAUCUGUAUUUGACUUGGUAAGAUAAUAAAUUCAAGAAAAGCCCAACUGGGACCUCUAACAUACUCUUCUACAAUAUAUGAAUUUUAUACUAAAUAAGACUAUAAUAUUCUCCUCUACAAGUGGAAACCACAUCCCCAUAGGAAAUCGAGAUGCUAAACUAUUAAUAGUUUACCCAGGUUUUCUCUGCCUACCAUGGAACCUUAAACUUCAUCACAGCCUAAGCACUGUAAAACAUUAUAAUUUAUGUUCAUAUAAAUGAAACUCUCUAGACAUUCUUCAUCUUGUCUACUACUUAAUGUUUCUGAUGUUUUUAAGACAGAGAAGUUCUCUGCAUUCAACCUGAGAAAAGACAAUGUCAAAAUAAAUUUAUAUAUCAAAUAAAUACUGUCAGAAGCAUUGCUAUAAGUCUGGUAAUGUUUUAAAAUGUUGUGCCAGUAA
rnacentral:lncRNA from 1 species